rnacentral:rRNA from 1 species
CGCCCCUUGACAUAAUAAACAUAGGGGGUCCUGCCUGCCCAGUGACUGAAAAGUUAAACGGCCGCGGUAUCUUGACCGUGCGAAGGUAGCAUAAUCAUUUGUCUCCUAAAUAGAGACUGGUAUGAAUGGCAAGACGGAGCUCCACUGUCUCCUCCUCUUUAAUCUGAACUUCACAUUCCCGUGAAGAGGCGGGAAUUAGUUCGUAAGACGAGAAGACCCUGUCGAGCUGUAGUUAAACUUUAAUUGUUACUCACCCUUAGGCCUAACUAAUAAUAUUAAAAAUAGUAGACCUUAAGGUAUAGCAAGUUAAAACAAGCUUUGAUUGGGGCAAUCCCGGAGAAAGAAAAUCCUCCGUUACUAUAUGGUUAUAUUUAAUCUAAAAUAAAAGAAUUAUUAUUCUUAAAGCAUAAAAAUGAAGACGUGAUCCACUUACAGUGAUCAAAAGAACAAGUUACCGCAGGGAUAACAGCGUUAUCUUUUCUGAGAGUUCAUAUUGACGAAAAGGUUUGCGACCUCGAUG